rnacentral:lncRNA from 1 species
GACAGUCGGCUCCUGUAGGUGCAGCAGCCCUGGGGCAUGCUCACCUCACCUCACCUCAGCUUUGUAAACCAGGGCCAUGGGAGACCCCCUCCCUCUGAUGCCCUCUCCCUCAAAUGCCUUUGCCAACGUGUGGCUGAGAGUGCACCCCAGUUCCCCUUGGCCACCCCAGGCAGUCCCAGUCCACUGAGAGCAGCCGCUGUCCUUCUUCCCUCUCCUGCCUCCUGACCUGGGACCCCACAGAGCUGGGCCUGUCAUCACAUUUAUGGGGCUGCAGCUGACCUGGGAACUCCCUUCCUCAGUCAGUCCACAAAUAUUUACCCAGAGCCUCAGGGUGCUCAGUGACCUUUACAAAACAAAGUGCAGAGUCACGUGCCAGGGCACAGCAAUCCCGGGCAAAACAGACCGAAACCCCUCCCUCGAGGAGAUCAAGUUGGGGCGGCGCUUUAGAGUUGUGGUCAGGAGGCUGGCUGAGUGGUGACCUUAGGGCAGAGGCCUGAAGGAGCAGUGGAAGUGGACUAGGCAGCAACUAGGUGAAGAGUGUUCCAGGAAACACUACACUGUCAGAAUCAAGAGAUGUUAGGGCCGAGAGGAGCCUCAAAAUGGGGGAAGCAAGGCUGGGAGGGGUGGCCUACCCUGGUCACAUGAGAGGUGGGGGCAGAGCAGGCCGGAGCCUCACAGGAAGAGGCCGGUUAGAGUUGGGGGUGGGGCCCAGCUUGUGUUUCCUGCACUGGCUGCGAGGCGUGAAAGGCGGGCUCCCGGCCAGCACACAGUGACAGUGCAGUUUCCAGACCCAGGCCCUGAGCUGAGGGGCCUCAGGGCUCAGAAAGGGCCUAGGCCUCAGAUCUCUGGUGAGCGGGGAGCCCAAAAUGGCCCUGGAGGCCACAGCUCCAGAACUAGACCCGUGGAGAAUGGAGGGCUGGGGCCCUGCACAUUCUCAAGCAGUAGUAGCAACACUGUCAUUGUCCUGCCCUUGGUAUAAGCCUGAAGAACCACCCUUUCUUACCCGGCUUCUGCUCCCCUUUUCCAGGGGCUCCUGUGGGAAAUCCCGGGUACUUCCUGGGACUGGUCUGUCUAUAUGUUUGGAAACCACAGAGCUGACCUGGCUUCAGAACAAGAUGUGGGGCUCCAGGCACCCGGGAGACCAGUGACCCUGAUUGGCAAUAGCCGCAAGAAAGGGCUUGGAGACAGGGGCCAGGCGCGGUGGCUACCCCUGUAAUCGCAGCACUUUGGGAGGUCAAGGCAGGUGGAUCACUUGAGGUCAGGAGUUGGAGACCAGCCUGGCCAAUGUGGUAAAACCCUGUCUCUACUAAAAAUACAAAAAAAAAAAAAAAAAAUUAGCCAAUGUGGUGGUGUAAGCCUAUAGUCCCAGCUACUCGGGAGGCUGAGGCAGGAAAAUCACUUGAACCCAGGAGGGAGGGUGCAGUGAGCAGAGAUCACACCACUGCACUCCAGCCUGGGCAACAGAGUGAGACUCCAUCAAAAAAAAAAAGAAAAGAAAGAAAGGGCUUGGAGACAGGGCCCUAACCCUGGAAUCCAGAUGUUGCCAAAGCAGCCCCCUCCUGUUCCUCUGUCUGCCUGGGAAGAAGCAGGAGUUGGCCACCCACACAGGCAGGGCGGGCCCUUCACCACCCAGCUCCACCCCGGAAUCCAAGGGCCUCUGUUUGCUGCUGUUUUCUGGAACAACUUGUUUUGAUCUAGAGAAAUCUGCUGACACCGGCCUUCCUGCUCUCACCCUCCAGCUGGGCAGAGGUAUUUUUAGACUUAUUUGUAGAGGAAGAGAGCAGAACCCAGGCCCAAUGUGUACCCUCCUUACUGUGGGCACAGCUUUGGCCCCUUAAGGCAGGACAGAGAUAUCCAUGUGGUUGUCUACCCUCAGCUCAUCUCUCCUUAAAUACAUUCCUUUCCCGAGAAAAACGAGCUGUGUGGAACUUGGAGGCCAGCAAAGCUUCUACAUAAGGACCCUCUGAAACAGUGCCCUUUUGUCCUUGAAAACCCAGGGUGGCAAAGGCAGCUCCAGAUACAAGGGCACAAAGGAGACUUGGUUCCCUUUGUGACAGGGAAGCCUAUGCUUUACAGAAUCCUAUGUUUUGUAUGUCAGUAAUUGUCCCUACUUAAAAAAAAAUCUAUAUAUAUAUAUGUAUUAGAAAGGGUCUCACUCUUGUUGGCCAGCCUGGAGUGCAGUGGCACAAUCAUAGCUCACUGCAGCCUCAAAAUCCUAGGCUCAAGGGAUCCUGCUGCCUCAGUCUCCCCAGUAGCUGAGACUACAGGCAGUCAUGUGCACCUGGCUUUUUUUUUUUUUUUUCUUUCAUUUUUUGUAGAGACAGGGUCUUGCUGUGUUUCCCAGGCUGGUCUCGAACUCCUGGCCUCUAGGCAAUCCUCCCACCAUGGCCUUCAAAAGCGAAUGGAUCCCACUCUUUUUUGAAAAAUAAAAUCUACCAUAGUUUGUUUCUGGGAUUUGGGAAUGAUGUGUGUGAAUUAGAGAGAUUUCGAGACCUGAAAUAGAGAAAAGCAAGUUAAGACAUCAACUGGGGCCCAGAAACAGCACUACAGCGGGGACGACCCACCUCUCAGAUGCCUGGUGAGAUAAAGAAAGGUCUGGCUGACUCCACUGCCCAGUACUGUGAAGCAGCAGUGAAGACUCCUCCAUUGGUUUCAUAAGCUGCCCAGCUUUCUAGAACAUUUUGACAGACAAUUCCCUCUUUCCACACGGUUCUUUCAGGCCAAAUCACCCCACCCCAACCCACCCCUGGAGAUACAGUCAGGAAGAGACUGAUGGGGCAGAUCCUGGAGGAGGCCGCACUGCCGGAAUCUUCCCCUGGCAGAGAAACAGGGCUAAGCAGGCGCCAGGGAGCAAGCCUGGGCUUGCCACAUCACCACCUUCUGUGCUGAAGGUCAGAUGACACACAGUCACCAGUUUUCCGAGAAGCACAGGGAGGGGUGCAUGUCAGGCCCAGCCCUGCCUGCUGAUACCACCUCACAGACGCAGGCGAAAUGUCUUCACCAGCUUCUUCUCGGUUGCCAAGGGGGCCUGCUUUCAAGGGGUUGUUUUGUAUGGGGUGUGGGUGUUAACCAGGGAGAGGUUCCUGGCAGGAGUUCCUGUCAGAUGCCAUUUUCCAUUCUGGUUACUUGAACCGGGGUCCUUUUUCAUCCUCUACCUCAGGGGCCAGAGCUUCCUCAUCACCCUGCACCCCCUAGCAAGGGAGGUGCCCGCUACACGGUCCAAAGUCCUCUCCAGACAUUCGGGCCCUGCCCGCCUUGCUGGAGGGCUCAGGAGUUCACCAGGUUUGCUUCCAGAAGAGCCAGGCUGGGGAUGCCUGCUUGCAAAUGCAGCAAAUAAAAAAUAAAUAAAUAAAUAAAAAUCACCUUUCUCCCCACCCCCACCCAAAUGUAAAAUGAGCCGACAGCCUGUCCCUCGGCUAUGUCAGAUACUGCUUUCCGCACAAUAUCUUGGUUUUACAUUAUUUUGCAACGGCCUCUUCCCACUUAAUCCAUCCUGAACACACUUCUUGAAUGUUCUACCCCGGCAGGGAUGCGCAUUCUCAGGAAACACGUCCCCUCGCCAGGCCCCUGGGAAGAGUCAAAACCACGAUGCCUGCCCCUGAAGCGCCCGCGCGGCUCCACGGGGCUCCAUGUUGUCACCCACUAGCUCCUGGACGCUAUCAGCCCGCAGCAGGGUUUCCUGGCCAGAGAAACCGCCUGUUGGGGUGCGGAGCGUUCCACGUCCCCUCGCAGCACCCCGCUGGCCUUCUGGGCCGCCCCGCCCCCAACCCGCGCCCGGGCGCUGACGUCAUCGGCCGAGCCCGACUCGGAACCACCGCCCGAAAGUCACGCGCGCCUCCCGGCGGGACGUGCCCUCUGCAGAGAUCCCUCCGCCGCCGCCUGGAAUUUUCCAGAUGUCCUGCCGGCCCUUCUUUCGGGCCUCGGCUGGGCGUGGUGACCUCAAGCGACCCCGGCGGCUCCCGUCGCCCACUCAAGAGGGCGCCCCCGCCCGCCACGCCCCCAGCCCCUCUCGGGGAAGCGCGUCCCCCGCCCGACCUCAACAACAUCCGGGAAGAAAAGGGGUCUUCUUCCUCAUGGCAUUCGCCUCCCAAAUGUCACCUUGAGCGCUGUCCGCGAUCCCAAAAAGCACUGUUAAAGAGAAGCGGGGAUACACUGGGGUCCUUGCGUGGGGGCCGCCUGGGAGACCAUGCACCGCCCGGGAGUCUCUCCGGGCAGGGUCGGGGAGGGACUUUUUUGCCGGUGGCCGUGGAGGAAUCGUCCCGUUGAGCAAUGACCCCGGUGACGCGGCUGAGGGCUAUAAAAGCAAAAGUUGUGGCAAGUCCAGCCGGAGUUAGCGACAGGGAGGGAUGCGCGCCUGGGUGUAGUUGUGGGGGAGGAAGUGGCUAGCUCAGGGCUUCAGGGGACAGACAGGGAGAGAUGACUGAGUUAGAUGAGACGAGGGGGCGGGCUGGGGGUGCGAGAAGGAAGCUUGGCAAGGAGACUAGGUCUAGGGGGACCACAGUGGGGCAGGCUGCAUGGAAAAUAUCCGCAGGGUCCCCCAGGCAGAACAGCCACGCUCCAGGCCAGGCUGUCCCUACUGCCUGGUGGAGGGGGAACUUGACCUCUGGGAGGGCGCCGCUCUUGCAUAGCUGAGCGAGCCCGGGUGCGCUGGUCUGUGUGGAAGGAGGAAGGCAGGGAGAGGUAGAAGGGGUGGAGGAGUCAGGAGGAAUAGGCCGCAGCAGCCCUGGAAAUGAUCAGGAAGGCAGGCAGUGGGUGCAGGGCUGCAGGAGGGCCGGGAGGGCUAAUCUUCAACUUGUCCAUGCCAGCAGCCCCUUUUUUUCCAGACCAAGGGCUGUGAACCCGCCUGGGGAUGAGGCCUGGUCUUGUGGAACUGAACUUAGCUCGACGGGGCUGACCGCUCUGGCCCAGGGUGGUGGCAGUGCUCCUUUUGGACUUUUCUCUAGGUUUGGCGCUAAACUCUUCUUGUGAGCUCACUCCACCCCUUCUUCCUCCCUUUAACUUAUCCAUUCACUUAAAACAUUACCUGGUCAUCUGGUAAGCCCGGGACAGUAAGCCGAGUGGCUGUUGGAGUCGGUAUUGUUGGUAAUGGUGGAGGAAGAGAGGCCUUCCCGCUGAGGCUGGGGUGGGGCGGAUCGGUGUUGCUUGCCUGCAGAGAGGGUGGGGAGUGAAUGUGCACCCUUGGGUGGGCCUGCAGCCAUCCAGCUGAAAGUUACAAAAAUGCUUCAUGGACCGUGGUUUGUUACUAUAGUGUUCCUCAUGGCGAGCAGAUGGAACCGGGAGACAUGGAGUCCCUGGCCAGUGUGAGUCCUAGCAUUGCAGGAGGGGAGACCCUGGAGGAGAGAGCCCGCCUCAAUUGAUGCCUGCAGAUUGAAUUUCCAGAGGCUUAGGAGGAGGAAGUUCUCCAAUGUUCUGUUUCCAGGCCUUGCUCAGGAAGCCCUGUAUUCAGGAGGCUACCAUUUAAAGUUUGCAGAUGAGCUUAUGGGGGGCAAUCUUAAAAAGUCCACAGCAGAUGCAUCCGGCUCGAGGGGCCAUCAGCUUUGAAUAAAUGCUUGUUCCAGAGCCCAUGAAUGCCAGCAGGCACCCCUCCUUUCCUGGGGUAAAGGUUUUCAGAUGCUGCAUCUUCUAAAUUGAGCCUCCGGUCAUACUAGUUUUGUGCUUGGAACCUUGCUUCAAGAAGAUCCCUAAGCUGUAGAACAUUUUAACGUUGAUGCCACAACGCAGAUUGAUGCCUUGUAGAUGGAGCUUGCAGAUGGAGCCCCGUGACCUCUCACCUACCCACCUGUUUGCCUGCCUUCUUGUGCGUUUCUCGGAGAAGUUCUUAGCCUGAUGAAAUAACUUGGGGCGUUGAAGAGCUGUUUAAUUUUAAAUGCCUUAGACUGGGGAUAUAUUAGAGGAAGCAGAUUGUCAAAUUAAGGGUGUCAUUGUGUUGUGCUAAACGCUGGGAGGGUACAAGUUGGUCAUUCCUAAAUCUGUGUGUGAGAAAUGGCAGGUCUAGUUUGGGCAUUGUGAUUGCAUUGCAGAUUACUAGGAGAAGGGAAUGGUGGGUACACCGGUAGUGCUCUUUUGUUCUUGCUUCGUUUUUUUAAACUUGAACUUUACUUCGUUAGAUUUCAUAAUACUUUCUUGGCAUUCUAGUAAGAGGACCCUGAGGUGGGAGUUGUGGGGGACGGGGAGAAGGGGACAGCUUGGCACCGGUCCCGUGGGCGUUGCAGUGUGGGGGAUGGGGGUAUGCAGCUUGGCACUGGUACUGGGAGGGAUGAGGGUGAAGAAGGGGAGAGGGUUGGUUAGAGAUACAGUGUGGGUGGUGGGGGUGGUAGGAAAUGCAGGUUGAAGGGAAUUCUCUGGGGCUUUGGGGAAUUUAGUGCGUGGGUGAGCCAAGAAAAUACUAAUUAAUAAUAGUAAGUUGUUAGUGUUGGUUAAGUUGUUGCUUGGAAGUGAGAAGUUGCUUAGAAACUUUCCAAAGUGCUUAGAACUUUAAGUGCAAACAGACAAACUAACAAACAAAAAUUGUUUUGCUUUGCUACAAGGUGGGGAAGACUGAAGAAGUGUUAACUGAAAACAGGUGACACAGAGUCACCAGUUUUCCGAGAACCAAAGGGAGGGGUGUGUGAUGCCAUCUCACAGGCAGGGGAAAUGUCUUUACCAGCUUCCUCCUGGUGGCCAAGACAGCCUGUUUCAGAGGGUUGUUUUGUUUGGGGUGUGGGUGUUAUCAAGUGAAUUAGUCACUUGAAAGAUGGGCGUCAGACUUGCAUACGCAGCAGAUCAGCAUCCUUCGCUGCCCCUUAGCAACUUAGGUGGUUGAUUUGAAACUGUGAAGGUGUGAUUUUUUCAGGAGCUGGAAGUCUUAGAAAAGCCUUGUAAAUGCCUAUAUUGUGGGCUUUUAACGUAUUUAAGGGACCACUUAAGACGAGAUUAGAUGGGCUCUUCUGGAUUUGUUCCUCAUUUGUCACAGGUGUCUUGUGAUUGAAAAUCAUGAGCGAAGUGAAAUUGCAUUGAAUUUCAAGGGAAUUUAGUAUGUAAAUCGUGCCUUAGAAACACAUCUGUUGUCUUUUCUGUGUUUGGUCGAUAUUAAUAAUGGCAAAAUUUUUGCCUAUCUAGUAUCUUCAAAUUGUAGUCUUUGUAACAACCAAAUAACCUUUUGUGGUCACUGUAAAAUUAAUAUUUGGUAGACAGAAUCCAUGUACCUUUGCUAAGGUUAGAAUGAAUAAUUUAUUGUAUUUUUAAUUUGAAUGUUUGUGCUUUUUAAAUGAGCCAAGACUAGAGGGGAAACUAUCACCUAAAAUCAGUUUGGAAAACAAGACCUAAAAAGGGAAGGGGAUGGGGAUUGUGGGGAGAGAGUGGGCGAGGUGCCUUUACUACAUGUGUGAUCUGAAAACCCUGCUUGGUUCUGAGCUGCGUCUAUUGAAUUGGUAAAGUAAUACCAAUGGCUUUUUAUCAUUUCCUUCUUCCCUUUAAGUUUCACUUGAAAUUUUAAAAAUCAUGGUUAUUUUUAUCGUUGGGAUCUUUCUGUCUUCUGGGUUCCAUUUUUUAAAUGUUUAAAAAUAUGUUGACAUGGUAGUUCAGUUCUUAACCAAUGACUUGGGGAUGAUGCAAACAAUUACUGUCGUUGGGAUUUAGAGUGUAUUAGUCACGCAUGUAUGGGGAAGUAGUCUCGGGUAUGCUGUUGUGAAAUUGAAACUGUAAAAGUAGAUGGUUGAAAGUACUGGUAUGUUGCUCUGUAUGGUAAGAACUAAUUCUGUUACGUCAUGUACAUAAUUACUAAUCACUUUUCUUCCCCUUUACAGCACAAAUAAAGUUUGAGUUCUAAACUCAUUAGAAUUGUUGUAUUGCUAUGUUACAUUUCUCGACCCCUAUCACAUUGCCUUCAUAACGACUUUGGAUGUAUCUUCAUAUUGUAGAUUUAGGUCUAGAUUUGCUAGCUCCAAGUAAUUAAGGCCAUGUAGGAGAGCAUGGUAACCACAGAUAGAACUGGUAUUAUCCCAAGUGGUCUGCAGACUGCUGAGUGGGGAUGGGAUCUGCUCUCUGUUGAGAGUUGGUAAUCAUUGGUUUGAAAUGUGAUGAAACCACUCAAGCCAAUGAAGGUGGGUGUGUAGGUGGGGAGUACUUUGCCAUAAUAUUUUAAAACAUUACCUGGUUAGAGUUCUAAGUGGUACUUAUUUUUGUUUGGUUAGGGGAAAGCCUGAAUAAAAACAGAAAUGGACACAUAAUAUGCAUAUUCCAUAGUCUUUGGGAGGCUGGAAUGUGCCUGGGAUUUGGGUCUAAGUGUAUGCGUAAUUCUUACCUCACUAAAGAAUUUGCCUUGUUUUUUUCCUUUUGGUGAGUGACUAAAACGUCUGGGCUUCCCUGUGUGCGUGCUACAGUAAGCAAGCAGAGGCUGUGCAAAGGUGUGAGCAGGAUCACGUGGAAUCUGGAGGAUACAUCUUGGCUUGCAAACUGCCUCUGUCUCCUGGGUGGGACUGUUCUGUCCUUGCACUGCUGUUCUGUGUUACCUCUUGGGGUGUAAGGUUUUGCUUACAGGAGACAAACUUUGGGCGUAGAAUGGAAGCCACUGCCAGCCUCUGUGCUGAGAAGGAAGGUGCUUGUUUCAAAGGGAGCAGCAAGGGAGGCUUGUUCUACUCACCUGGGCCUGUUUGCCUGAGAAGGGGAGAUAAGGGCUGAACUGGGACUAGCCAGGGGGACCAACACAAAUGGUGGGGGAUCAUGACCUGAAGGAUUCUUUCCUUCCCAUGAGCUGCAGGGCUGGUUGCCGUCCUUGCAACUGUGUCUUAUUUGCCUGUGCCGUUAUAUCUUGGUGACCCCUCCACGUGUACACUACUGACAAACGGGUGGAGUGCUGGGGAGAAGUCACUGUGCCGCCCACCUAGUAAACCUUCUGUCUGUGCUCAUGGCAUCUCCAAGAUGGGGCACUGCUGUGUGCAGAAUCCAGGGUCCUCUUUCUGCUUGCAACUCCUUUCCCUGGAUGCCCCAGAAACAAUCCAGGCCUCCUUUCCUAUCUUACCCCUUUGCUUUGCUUUUUACCCCAGCACCUCUAUAACCGCCUUCUCUUCUUUUCAGAACUCCUUGUUUCUCGUCCUGUUUUUUAUGAUUACAAAACUCUUGCUUCCACCCUGGAAGAUAACUGCUAUAGAUGCCUGUAUGUAAAUGGUGCUGUCUCCAGCAACUGGCAUGCUGAAGAAGAAUUGAUUCACGGGGUAUAAAUGUUGGGGAUUGGAAGUGGGGAUGAAAUGGCACUUGUUGAUACAGGAGCAGAGAGGUGAGGCCGACUGCUGAAGACAGCUCGCCACCCUCCUUGCCUCCACUCCAAUCCAGGGGCUGGGGCCACAUUCUUUGCCUUCAUUUAUCCUCAGAUCAGGUGAGAUCGACAGGAGGUGUUGAUGGCAGUGCCAGCAAUUAUUGCUAAUCCGUUUGCAUCCUUAUGCAUAGAUCUGAAUUCAGACUUUGUGAAUUUCCAGAGGUGUGGGUAAUAUAAUAGAAUUCAGUGAGUGGGCAUGGCUGAUCUUGUGCAAAUUAAAAGUUAUGGGGCAUAAGAAUAGCAAAAGUUGAACUUCUUUUAAAAAGGAAAGUACCCUGAGAGCCAGUAUUGGUUGAGGCUCUUCAGUAUGCCCAGGUUGGCAGCACUGAGAACCGCAGGAACGGCCUGUUGUUACAAAAAGGAGAUUGACUCAGCUGCCCUUGGUGCAUCUGACUGACUAUGACUGCUGAGAGAUUCCAAGGACCCUUAAUGCCAGGGCUAACCUCUCCAUGUGCAGUGAGACCUCUGGAGGAAGUGUCAUCCUCUGGCUUUGUGUGGUACUCAUUAUGGUGCAGUGCGGGCAUGAAAUGAAGACACCCAAAUAGGCUUACAGAUACGAUAUGUUUUAAAUGUUCGUAUUUAACAAAAACAUACUGACACUGUUUGGAAAUGGCAACAGGAAGAUAGCAAAAUGAAUACUAACAUUACGAAAAGAUGAACAGGUACAUGUUCCAAGGCAGGUGGCUGUGAACUUCCUCUGAGUGAAGGCAUCCCCUCCAGCACCUUUCAGCCUGCUAGUUAGGACGACCCGCCGCCACCCUCCAGGACCUCCAGCCCUGCACUGCCUUUCCUCUCUUUUAAAUAAUUCUUCAUUGAGUUCUAAUAUGUAAAAAAAAAAAGUUUACUGUAAAGUUUGCAAAUAAGGAAAUUUUUUUUAAAAGUCCUCAGUAAUCUUACCAGUAACAAUUGUUAUGGGCACAUUUGCUUUUGGAAGAUUUCUUUUGUAUGCAUGGGAUAAGUACAUUUUUAAACAAAAAUGGGAUUAUGCCAUAAAUUCUAUUUUGUGACUUUAAUAUAUAGUGAACACCUUUUUUAAUGAUGACAGGAUGUUCCCUUGCAUGGCUGUAUCAAUUUAAACAAUCUUGUUUCAAUGGGCAUACAGGGUAUUUUCUAGUUUUUUUUUCCUCUUAGAAAAUAAUACUUGCGAUGACUUUCCUUGUAGCUCAGACUUUUUCACGUCUGUUGUUAUCUCUUUGGGAAUGCUGAAUACAUACAUUUCGAGAAGGAAAUGACUGUUAAACUCUUAAGACUUCAGGUUCAUAUUGCUAAACUGCCCAGCAGGGAGGGAUUUUUUCAAUUAGUGUUCUCACUGGUGAGGCAAACCUGAUGCCUUCCCCUCUUCCUCAGAACCGGCUUUAUCACAUUGAAAACCUUUGCUCCUCCGACGGAUCGAGUCUGCUUUCCCUCUGGAUGUGAGCAUUGCUUUGUCUGCUGGUGACUGAACAUCUCUACCUUGUGUCAAUUGGCCAUUUGUGGUGUGUGUGUGUGUGCGUGUGUGUGUGUGUGUGUGUGUAUGAUUUUCUAAUUCCUAGUCAUUUUUCUAUUGAUUGUUUUGCAAAAGCCAUUUACAUCUUAAGGAUAUUGAUAAUCUUUUGUUAUAUUUGAUGCAAAUAUUUUUUUCCAGUUUAUAGGUUGCCUUUUAAUUUUGUGUUUCAGGUAGAUAAAAGUUAAACGAUUUUCUUAGGUUAGUUUAUCACUGUGGUUUCUGAACUUGUUAUGUGUAGAUCUUUUCCACCCCAAGAGUACAUAAAUAUUAAUCCAUACUUUCUUAUGGAACUUGUAUGGUUUCGUUUUUUACAUUUAAACCUUCUUCCCCGUGGUGUGUGUUGUGGAAUCUGUGUUUGUGUGAGGAGGGGCAUGGUGCUCUCAGAACCCACCUCCUGUGGCCAGAGAGCCCUGUCCUGUGAGGGUGGUUGUCACAGUGGCAGGGUUCAAUUCAGAAGACCUUGAGGGCAGGCUGAUGUUUCCUGAAUGGGCCCCUGGUUGUUGCUUGUCCCUGACUCUCCAUUUCCCCAUCUGAGUGGAUUUGGACCUAAUAGGGCACUGGAGCUGGUUCGAAUCCUGACUGGACUACUUGGCAACUUUAUGUCUGGGAGCAAGUUACUUAACCUCCCCAAGCCUGUGUCUGUGAAAUGCGGGUAAAUGAAUGUAGAUGUUUGGCAGCAGCUACUCCUUGUUGAGCUCUCACAGUGAACUCUCCUGCCUCUGCCCUCCUUCCCCGCCUCCCCUGGUGCCUAGCGUCAGGUCUAGCCACUUCCUCCUGGGCCCCUCUCCCUUUUCUGUGGCUGGCUGCCUGCCCGCCUGGCGCUGGACCUUUCAUGUAACGGGAAUCAGCAUGUAUAUUCUGGUCUGGUCUGUUUCUACACUUAAUUUUGUUUCCAGUAGUAUUUCCCUGUACCGGCAGAGUUCACAAACACAUUUGAAGAGGCUUUUUCUCAGGAUUCUUAACCUUCCCAAAGGAAGUCCCAUGGAUGGGUUUCUAGAAGUCUAUAAAUGCUCUGAAAUUGUAUUUUUCUGUGGAAAGCAUAACUUUCAUCUGCUUGUUCGUGCUCAAAAAAGAUCAUGAAUGAAUGAUUGCAUGAUUUUAUGCCAUUGUGCUUAUACUAAAGGAUAUGUAGCCCAUCUCUUGAGCUGUUAAACUGUUUUGACUACUUUAAAUCGUGCAGCUGUGAGCAUCUCUGUAAAUUUAGUGUACACAUGUAUCCCCUGGAGUGGCAUUGCCUCGGCAGUGAGCACUUAUGGUUUUAUAACUCUCUUCACAGACUCAAAUGACUCCAGAAAGCUACACUUCCUGUUGUGAGUAUAUGAUAUCCAUUUCCCUACAUAGCCACUAACAUCAGGUUUUUACAAUUUUAUUUAUUUCUUGCUACUUUAAGAAAUUUUUGUGGUGAAAUACAUAUAAUAGAAGUUGACUAUCUGAAUCAUUUUUAAGUAUACAUUCAGUAGUGUUAAGUAUGUCGCCAUUGUUGUACAACCAAUCUCCAGAACUUUUUCAUCUUGCAAAACAAACUCUGUACCCAUUAAAUAACAUUAAACAUUCCAUUCCCUCCAGCCUCAGCAACCCCAUUCUACUUUCUGUUUCUGUGAGUUUGACUAUUCCAAGCACUUCAUAUCAGUUAAAUCAUGAAGUAUUUGUCUGUCUGUGACUGGCUUAUUUCUCUGAGCACAGUGUCCUCGAGAUGCGUCUAUGUUGUAGCAUAUGUCAGAAUUUCCUUCCUUUUUAAAAGAUCCAAAUAAUAUUCUUAUUUUAUAUCUUUUUUUUAUCCAUUCAUCCAUUAGUGGACACUUGGGUUGCUUUUGGCUAUUGUAAAUAAUGGUGCUAUGUACAAAUAUCUAUAUUAUUGUAUUUACAAGUAUAAUGCUGUAAUGUACACACAUCUUUUUGAGAUCCUACCUUCAGUUCUUUUGAGUAUAUAGCCAGAAGUGGUAUUACUAAAUCUUACGAUAUUUCUAUUUUUAAUUUAUUGAGGAACCACUGUAGUUUUUCAUAGCAACUGCACCAUUUUACGUUCUCACCAAGAGUGCACAAGGGUUCCGAGGUUCCCACAUCCUCCCCAACACUUGUUAUUUUCUGCUUUUUUUAGAUUGCAGCCAUCAUAGUGGGUGUGAGGUGACAUUUCAUUGUGGUUUUGAUUUGCAUUUCCCUAAUGAGGAGUGAUGCUGAGCAUCUUUUCAUAUGCUUACUGGUCAUUUGUAUGUUGUCUUUGGAAAAAUGUCUAUUCAAGUCCUUUGACUAUUUUAAAAAUUGGGUUAUUAGAGUUAUCGUUGUUGUUGACUUGUAGGAGUUUCUUUCUAUAUUCUGGAUAUUAAUCCCCUAUCAGAUAUAUGAUUUGCAAAUAUCUUCUCUUAUUCCAUAAGGUUACUUUUUCACUUUGUUGAUUGUGUUCUUUGAUGUAUAGAAGUUUUUAGUUUUGAAAUAGUCUAAUUUAUCUGUUUUUACUUUUGUGGUCUGUGCUUUUGGUGUCAUAUCCAAGAAAUCCUUGCCAAAUCCAACGUUAUAAGGUACUUUUAAGGUAUUUUAGUUGUCUUAGUCUAUAUUUCUGUACUCACCUUUCUUUAUCCACUCAUCAGUUGAUGGGCAUGUAGGUUGGUUCCAUAUCUUUGCAAUUCUGAAUUGUGCUAUGAUCAGGUGUCUUUUUAGUAUAAUGAUUUACUCUCCUUUGGGUAGAUACCCAGUAGUGGGAUUGCUGGAUCGAAUGGUUUUUAUAAUUUUCUAUUUUACCACAGUUUCUCUCUGCAUUUUUCCUCUUUGACCACUAACCAUGUGAAAUUCUCAUAUUGACCUUUAUAAUGAUCAUGAACUCUUAGUAUCAUUGGGAAGGCCACAUUUGCCACUUAUGAUUGUAAACCUUAUCCUCCAUUUUUCCUGUUAUUGUUGGUGCAAAAAGCACCUAUUAUACCAGGACUUUAAAAAUCAGUCUGAUAAGUCUUUGAUAAGUCUAAUAAUAAUAACUGAUAAGUCCAUUGAAUUUGCUUCUGAUUACUUUUUCUUUAGUAGCUAAACAUGUAUGUACUCCUAUGAUUACAAUGAACACUCCUCUCCAUUUAAAUUAAUUAUUUACAUUGAUGAAAUAGCAAAAUGUUAAUGACUAAAUACUGUCUUGGUUUUUUCGUUCCAGGUCAGUCAAUAUUAACUUCUUAUAAUUUUCUUUUUUUUCUUUAUGUGUGUGUGUGUGUGUAUUUUUUUUUUUUUAAUUUCAAUGGCUUUUGGGGUACAAAUGGCUUUUGGUCAUAUAGAUGAAUUCUACAGUAGUGAAGUCUGAGAUUUUACUGCACCGGUCACCUGAGUAGUGUACAUUGUACCCAAUAUGUGGUUUUUUAUACCUUGCCCCCCUCUUACCCUCCCCACUUUGAGUCUCUAGUGUCCAUUAUGUCACUCUGUAUACCUUUUUGUACCCAUAAGUUAGCUCUCACUUAUAAGUGAGAACACACAGUAUUUGGUUUUCCAUUCCUGAGUUGCUUCACUUAGAAUAAUAUCCUCCAGCUCCAUCCAAAAUUGCUGCAAAAAAAAAAAAAACCACAAACAUUAUUUUGUUCUUUUUUAUUGCUAAGUCAUAUUCCAUGGUGUAGAGAUACCACAUUUUAUUUAUCCACUCACUGGUUGAUGGGUUGGUUCCACAUCUUUGCAAUUGUGACUUGUACUGCCAUCAAGUGUCUUUCUGGUAUAAUGACUUCUUUUCCUUUGGGUAGAUACCCAGGAGUGGGAUUGCUAGAUCAAAUGGUUCUUAACAUUUUCUCUCUGGAUCUAUUUCUGGAAAUUUUAGGCUCCAGUUUUUGUUGUUGUUGUUAAUAAAAUGCAAUGGAAUGUAAUGAUCAUCACUUUUCAUUAUGCUUUAAAAUCUGGUAAAUGGAGGCUAGAACACUCCUGUAAGGCAAGAAUAUUCUCUCUGUUGGAACUCAAAUACACAGAACUGGGUAAAUCUCAAUCUUAAUCUUUGAUUCAGGACACAACAUGGCUCUCUUUUACUUGCUUUCUUUAAUUGUUUUUUAAUAAUGUGGUAAGCAUUUCUGAAUCUCCUAUCCAAUACAAAAACUAGGACAAUACAGACAGUAACUCCUAUGGUUACAAUGAACACUCCUCUCCACUUAAAUUAAUUAUUUACACUGAUGAAAUUGAAAUAGCAAAAUUUUAAUGACUAAAUACUGUCUUUGAUUUUUUGUUCCAGGUCUGUCAAUAUUAACUUCUUAUAAUUUUCUUUUUUUUUCUUUAUGUGUGUGUGUGUGUGUGUAUAUAUAUAUAUUUAAUUUCAAUGGCUUUUGGGGUACAAAUGGCUUUUGGUCAUAUAUAUGAGUUCUACAGUAGUGAAGUCUGAGAUUUUACUACACCUUCCACUUAUGUGGUCCCACACCACCCGCCUCCCCUGCCGCCUCCUGCCACCCCCUAGGCCAAGGUAAUAAUCAUCCUGAAUCCUGGGUUUAUCUCUCACUUGCUUUCUUUUCAUAUAAUUUUGCAAAAGAAUCUGAUCUAAAUGUGUUUUUCAGAGUAUAUAUUUAUAUUUUAGCUGUUCUUAGAGAAAAUUUAUUAUUUUGCAUGUAAUCUUAUGGAACAUUCUCAUUUAAUACCAUGGUAAGAUUCAGCCCUUGCCCAGGGGAUAGUUCAUUUAGUUUGUUUACUGGAUAGAGCUCAUCAUGUGACUAUACCUCAGUUAGUUUAUCAGUUCUCCCAUCCAUGGUGACUAGGUUGCCUCUCAGCCUCUCAACAACACUGUUUCUCAGUGUCCUUGUAGAAGUGAUAUGUGGGUGUUUUCUCCUUACACAGAGUUGAAAGGUGACGACAACAACGUUGGCACUACCAAUCCCCCACCCUCCAGAGGGGUAACCAGUGUUACCAGUUUGCUGUGUUUCCUGCUACACCUCGCCUUAUUCACUUCCAUUUGUAUCUGAAAAACGUGUUGCAUGGUUUCUUUUCUAUAGAAGUGGUAAAAUGCUAUUGUGUCCUGUACAUUAUUGAUUACUUUUUUUCAUUUAACAGUAGGGAGAUGCCUGGGAGUACACAGAGAACUGCCCUCAUUGUUUUCAACUUCUGCACUGUAUGUCUGUGAGUUUAGCCAUUCUGCUGUUAAUGGAAAUUUACAGUAUUCUAAUCUUUUGAUAUUACAAACAGUUCUGUGCGAUCAUCGUCAUACACAACCCCUUGUGCACAAUGCAUGAGUGUUUCUCAGGGUAGGUACCAAGAAGUGAAAUUCCUGGGUCAUAGGGCGUGAGUCCGACAUUUUUCUCCAUUCUGCCCUGUUGCCCUCCAGAGUGGGUGUCCAGCUUUGCAUACCUAAGUAUGAGAGUAUCUGUUGUUCAUAUCCUCUACGACGCUCCAUAUAUGAAACUUAAGUUUCUGCUAGUUGCCAUCUUUGAUCUAUCAUGUAUGCAGUGACCUACUAAGACUGUAAUUGGUACAGUAGAUUCUUGUCAUCUGUGUGUGAAUUUAGCAUUCAUGGGCUUAAUGCUGACAAGGCCCCCAGGGUCCAAGACAUAUAAUCAUGUAUAAUUUUGUCAAGGUAUAAUUUUUUAAAUUGCUUUUGUCAUGUGUCUGCUGGUGAUGCCCAACCCAGUGCUCUGCACCCAGGUCACACUGUGGCUUUGUCCUCUGCUUAUGCCUGCAUUGCAGCAACUGUCCUGAAGAGACCAAAAUUAUGCAGAUUUAGGUAAGUCCAUGGCUAAUGUUAUUAUAUUAUGUGCUAUUGUAAUGGAUGGGGCUGUGGAGUGUAUGAAUUUAUAAAUCACUGGUCUUGUAAUUAAAAUUCAAACACUAUAGAAAAAGGCCAUGUAGAAGAUAAAAGUUCCUCUAUAAUCCCGGACCCCUAAGAUAACUACUAAUGACAACUUCAUUUAUAUUCCUUCAGACAUUUUCUGGCUGUGGAUGUACUAAAAUGUAUCCUAUUAUUCUCUGCCCUAAAAUGGAAUCAUACAAGGUGUACUGUUAUUUUUAUGGCUCUAUAACAUGUCAUAUUGUACGUGUUGGUAUGGUCAUUUUAACCAUUUUUCUAGUGAUGGCUUUGAGGUUAUUUGCAGUUUCCUAGCCAUCUCAAAGUGUGCUGCGGGGAUCUCUUUUGCAUCCCUCUGGGUGCAGAGCUGAGGCACCCAGAGGCAGUGUCCAGAGGAGGCAGCAUCUGUAGGUGUCUUCACCUGCUCUGGCUCUUGGCACAUCUGGUUGGUGACACUGUUUUGUGAGAUGGGUUGAAAGCACGUGCUGCCAAAAUAGAAUAAUGUUGGUCCUCUCCUCAUGUGCCGUGGAACUGGGGUAAAACUGCGUAGUGGCUGCAGCUGCCUGUCCAUACCGGAAUCGAGUAUAACACGGUGCCUGGCUUAGCACAAAACAGUAGUGGGUCCUGCAGGCCCCAGAGUCUAAUUCCUGGUAUUCUUUCCCCUACACAGAUUAAAUAAACCAAAAACAAACUAUUCUAGGAAAGCGUCUGUGACAUUUGUAAAAAGUGGUAUUUAAUGAUCUUUUAUUCACUUGUCUGUUUAGUUUGUUGAAAUCUUAAGUGGCAUCCUGGUCUGGGAAGGAGUGCUGUCUGCGCCUGCCCUCCGCUGGGCACAGCGUGGCUGCUUCAGGGGCUAAGCACACACUUUCUGUCUUCUAAAGGGCCGCCACAUGCCAGGAGCUCAGGUGUGAGCCCGGCUCUGGCUCUUACCUCAUAGGGUCACUCAUAGGGGCACAGGGAGCAGAACAUUGUACACAGCGAGGCACCACCCGGCUUGGCAUCUGCCUCGGUGGACUUACUACCUCUAGAAGGAAAUACCUGAGUUCCUCUGGCCUCAGCUCCUAGAGUGACUGGUGUGCUGUCCCUGUUACUCUUCUGUCAAGGUGACAACUGUGUGACCCAUCAUCUGUGUGUCAAAGCAAGGCCCUGCCUGGGCCUCUGCUCCUGUGCUGACCCCAAAGGCAAAUGCUUUGCUAGUUUCCUUCCAGUUAAUUUCACCUAUGAAUAGAUGUGUGAAAACUGUUCAAAGCCAUACCUGCACAUGUUUGAACUUCAAACCCUGUGGGUGAUUCAGUGGCAUCUUUCUCUAACCCCCAGCCUCCCUUCCCACAGAGGCCACCGUCAUGGCCAGUUGCUGCAGUUUCUUUCCAGAGAACCUGUGUAUGUGUAAAGCUGUACAGGCGUGGGUACACCACACAGCCUGUCUUGCACUGUGGACUGUUGAGUUACUAGUACAUCUAGGUAAGCACCGCAUAUCUGUAUUCAUGUCUGCCUUGGUCUUUUCAACAUCUGUGUGGUAGCCGUGUUUGAAUUACCCAUUCCCUUUUUGGGGAACCAUUAAGUUGUUUCAGCAAUUUUUACUGUAGAUAAGGCUAUACCGCAUAUCUGUGUACAUGGGUUUUUAUGUACAUGGGCAAGUAUAUCUGUGAGAGAAAAGUUUCCUCAGGAGGAAUUCUGGGCACAGCAUGUGUAAAUUUCUAAAUAUGAUGGACACCCCCAGCUUCCACCUCAAGGAGGUUGGUCCCAUUGACAUUUCCCCACACCUUCACCCAGGCUGUGCCCUUAAACUUGGUUAUUUGUCAAUGUGAGAAGUGGAAAAUAGUAUUUAAUUGUAGUUUGGAUUUGUAUUUCUAUUGGGUUGUAUACUUACUGAUUAAUAAUAAGAGCUCUUUACAUAUUAAGGAAAUUAACCCUUUUCAAAUACAUUCCUAUUUCUCACUAAUCUUUAAGUUUUAUUGUAAUAUUUUGCUCUUUAGUUUAUAUAUAUAUGUAUAUAUAUAUAUAUGUAUAUAUAUAUAUAUACAUAUAUAUAUACAUAUAUAUAUACUAAUUUUCUUUUAUGGUUCCUGGAUUUUGUGAGUAGUUUGAAAAGGCUAAUCCAGCUGAAGAUUUUGUUGUUGUUGUUAAACCCCAUGUUUUCUCCUAACUCUUUUUAUUUUUAUUUUGGAGGACUCUAUCUAGACUUAAUUUUAGCAUAACAAGUGACAGGGUUAGUUAGCCUGUUGUCCUUACACCAUUUUCUGGCUAAUACAGCUAUUAACUAUUGAUCUGUCUAUUCACGUGCCAGUUCCUAAUGGUUUUACAUAGUGUAAUCUGCACUUCAAAAUAGCGAAGGGAAGCCCUACCUCAUUAUUCUACUUUUCCAGAAUUCUCCUGGCUAUUCCAGGCUGCAUGUUUACCUUAACCUUCCCUGUGAUGUCUUCAUGCCGUUGUCUUCUUAUGCAAGAAUAAGGUACGUCUUUCCAUCCACUCACGUCUAUUUAAUUUGACUUUGCAUUACACAGAAAGCUGGUCUUGGUCUGUCUACCUCGGCAUCUAGUUGUCCUCACUGCCCCCUAGCCGACCCCACCCCAUCUGACUGACUACCCCAUCACAGAGUACUUUUAUUUACGUUUUGCUCUGCCUAAUGGUUACUUGAUACUGUCACGCCGACAGUGUCCAGUUCAGUGGUCUUUGCAGUUGAAAUGCUCCCGUACACACUGUCUUGUUAAAAAUGCCAGUAAGUUCAUACAAACCCAGCUUGCACCCAAGGUCACAUUCAGAGAGCGUAGGGCUGGGAUGGGUUGUUUUCCAAGCUUCUGCCACUGUGUGGCUAGCUCUUCCCACUGGGAAGUUCUGUGUACCCGGAAUGUCGGAGUGGAGUCCUGUUCUAGUGUCCAGCACCUGACCCUGUGCCCAACCCCUCAACAGCCUAUUCCUGCUGUCCACAGCCUGCUGGAACUUUUUACAAAAUAUGUUGCCAUGCUGGACCCUGGGCACUGGACAUAAGCCCCCUGGCAGCCUUUUUCAUGUCACCCAAAGGGGUAAUUGUCCUACUGGUGGUCUGUAAGAUGAGUUAGGGUGACUUGCUAAUAGACAUUGUAAAUCUUAAUAUUUAUGUAUGUAUUUUAUUAUUACCGGUUUUCCAUUUAUGAUGGUAAUAUUGUUUCUUCUAAGAAUAUUUAUUUUUCCUUCUAAAUAUUGAGAUAAAAUUCAUGCUUUUGAAAUGUUCUAUUCAGUGGCUUUUAGUAUAUUUGCUAUGUUGUGCAACCAUCGACACUAUCCAUUUCUAGAACUUUUUCGUCAUCCCAAACAGACGCUCUGUAUUCAUAAAAAAAUAACUUCCUACCUGUCUCUCCCCCUAGUCUUUGGUAACCUUUGUUAUACUGGUAAACUUUGUUGUGCUCUCUGUCUGUGUGAAUUUGCCUAUUCUAGGGGCCUCAUAUAAGUGUAAUCAUACAGUAUUUGUCUUUUUGGGUCUGUCUGAUUUCACUUAGCGGGUUUUCAGGGUUCAUUCAUGUUGCAGCAUAUAACAGUACUGCGUUCCUUUUUCUGGCUGAAUAAUAUUCCACUGUAUGGAUAGACCCCAUUUUGUUUAUUCACACAUCAUUUGGACAUUUGGAUUAUUUCUGGUUUUUGGCUAUUAUGAACAAUGGUGCUAUGAACAGUUGCGUACAAGUUUUUGUGUGAACAUAUGUUUUCAAUUCUCUCAUUAUAUACCUAGGAGUAGAAUUACUGGGUCAUAUGGUAACUGUAUAUUUUUGAGGAACUGCCAAACUAUUUUCCCACGUCCAUGCACCAUUUCACAUUCCCACCAGUAAGUAAGAGGGUUCCAAUUUCUGCGCAUUCUUGCCAACACUAGUUAUUAUCUGACUUUCUGGUUAUAAUCAUUCUAAUGAGUGUGAAGUAGCCUCUGGUGUCAUUUGGAUUUGCAUUUCUCUGAUGAGUGAUGCUAUCAAGCACCUUUGCUGGUGCUGUUGGCCAUAUGUGUAUGUUCCCUGGAGAAGUGUCUGUGCUGAGCCUUGGCCCACUUUUUAAUUAGGCGUUUGUCUUUUUAUUACUGAGUUGUAAGAGUUCUUUAUAUAUUCUGGAUUCUAGACCCUUAUCAGAUACAUGGUUUGCAAAUAUUUUCUCCCAUUCUGUGGGUUGUGUUUUCACUUUAUCGAUAAUGUCCUUAGACAUAUAAUAAAUUUGUAUUUUAAAAGUGACUUGAUUUGGCUGUGCAAGGUGGCUCACGCUUGUAAUCCCAGCACUUUGGGAGACUGAGGUGGGUGGAUCAUAUGAGGAGGCUAGGAGUUCGAGGUCAGCCUGGCCAGCAUAGCGAAAACUUGUCUCUACUAAAAAUACAAAAAUUAGUCAGGCAUGGUGGUGCACGUCUGUAAUACCAGCUUCUCAGGAGGCUGAGGCACGAGGAUCACUUGAACCCAGGAGGAGGAGGUUGCAGUGAGCUGAGAUCAUGCCAGGGCAACAGAAUGAGACUUUGUUUAAAAAAAAAAAAAAGUGACUUGAUUUAAGGGAAAAAAUGACUGGCUAUAUUCAGUCAGAUAUGGCAAAAAGUCUCAAGGUGUUAAUGUGAAUGAUUAAGGUCUUGGGGGGGGUGUCCCCUAUCAGACUACAGGUGUUUAGAGGCACAGAAAAAGGUGCAGUUGGGUUCUUAAUGUGAAAUGAUGAGAAGCACAACUCCAGUGUGUCUCUUUGUGUAGAAUGUCAGCAGACACCCCCUGCUAGAUGUGCUGGAUCAUGGGAAAGCAUUUCCAUUUGUUACUAGAUUGUUCAGAAGUUUUAAUUUAUGAUGGGUGUGGUGGCUCAUGCCUGUAGUCCCAGCACUGUGGGAGGCUGAGGCAGGAGGAUCAUCUGAGGCCAAGAGUUCAAGAUCAGCCUGGGCAACAUAGUGAUACCCUAUCUCUUAAAAAAGAAGAAGUUUUUAAAUUUGAAAUAAUAAUAGGUACUGGAUUUAUGCAAAUGUCUUUUCUGCGUCUUUUGAGAUGAGUAUCAGGUUUUUUUUUUUCCUUUUAUCAUCUGAUGAUGAACUUAAUGUUUCCAUUUGUAUUAAUGGAAUACUAAGUCCCUCUGUGAUUUCUGAACCAAGCUAUUCCUAGGCCUGAGUUUUAUUUUGUUGACACAGAAAUAAAUUAGAAGGCCAAGCGUGGUGGCAUGUGCCUGUAGUCCUAGUUGCUGAGGUAAGAGGAUUGCUUGAGCCCAGGAGUUCAAGGCUGCAGCAAGCUUUGAUUGCGCCACUGCACUCCAGCCUUGGCGACAGACUAAGACGCUGUCUCAAAAAAAAACAAAAACGACAAAAAAAAAACAAAACAGAAAAAAUAAACUAAGGCAAUGACAGUCCCUGGCAAAUGCUGGGAGGGAGGCAGCAGUGGUCAGGGAAGGUAACCCUGAAGCAGGACUUGUAAAGCAAAUAAGAUUGGGAGGCCAAGGUGGGUGGAUCACGAGGUCAGGAGUUCGAGACCAGCCUGGCCAACAUAGUGAAACCCCGUCUUUACUAAAAAUACAAAAAAAUUAGCCAGGUGUGGUGGUGGGUGCCUGUAGUCCCAGCUACUUGGGAGGCUGAGGCAGGAGAAUCUCGAACCCAGGAGGCGGAGGUUACAGUCAGCUGAGACCGCACCAUUGCACUCCAGCCUGGGUGACAGAGCAAGAUUCCGUCUCAAAAAAAAAAAAAAAAAAAAAACCAAGAAGAAAAGGAAUGAAUUAGAACUUCUUCUGCUUGGACUUAAGGGCAUCAUCAGGCAGGUUUUGGGUAGGAUAGCAGGGGAGGCAGAGACAUAGUCGGGGUCAGUGGUCAUGAGUGUGGCUUUGAGCCCAAAAACUUGGUUUCUGUUCCCUACUUUGCCACUCAGUAGUGCAUGACUUUGGCCAAAUUUCUUAAAUUCAUGAAGCAAGUUUCCGGGUGAAUGAAAUGGGGAUAAAAAUAGUGUUCAAACCUAUCCGUUGGUUUGUGUGAAACUGAAAUGAAUAGUAUCGUGCAGGUACUUGUGAGCAAGGGGAGCUGCUGUUUCCUGUCCCUUUAUGAUGGGAAAUAUCUAGACAAGUUCCCAACCCUCUGCACUGCAGGCUGCAUGGCACGGAGGGUCUUGUAACACCAGCUGGGGCUGGCCUUCUUUUAGGAGCUUCAGUGGUUCUGAAAACUUUUAUUUGUUUGUUUGUUUUAGUAGAUGUGGGGUCUUUCUGUGUUGCCCGGACUGGUCUCAAACUUCUGGACUCAAGUGAUCCUCCCCCGCUCAACCUCCCAAAGUGUUGGGAUUACAGGUGUGAGCCACUGUGCCCAGCCUUGAAAACUUUUUCAGGUUCUUCCAGGGUUACUGGGCUAUUAAAUAUUUCUAUUUCAUUAUAAGUCAGUUUUUCAAAGUUAUAUUAUCUUAAUUACCUUUUUUAUAUGUAUUAGUGUAGAGUAGCAUUUUAUAUUUUGAUAUCCUCCUUAUGCAUAGUUUUUCACUUUUUAUUCCUAGUUUUUCGUUUUUAAUAAGACUUUCAAGAAAUUUAUUUUAUUGGCCUUUUGAAAAAAGCAGCUUUAGAUAAAGUAAGCAGUUCUGCUUUCAUUUUAUAAUUUAUUUCUACUUUUGUUUCAUUAAUCUUUUCCUCCGGCAUGCCUUGGAUUUUGUUGUGUUACUCUUUUUCUAGAGGCUCGCAUUGUGUGUCUGGUUCACUUAUGAUCACGCUUGCCUACUUUUAAGAAUGGAAGAGGGGAGGUGGAGGGUGGCUGCACAGUCGAGGGUGUGAGGCAGUCUUGCUCUAGCCCCACCAUGCCCUCAGCCCGCUGUGGCCACGCUGGUUCCUCAAUUGCUGGGGCGUGCAGUGUCUGUAAGGGAGGCUACUGAUGCCAUCCGAGGAAGAUGUAAGGUUUCGUGUGGGCAGCGAGAGCCUAGCAGGCAUGUGGGGUGCCCAGCAAAGGGUAACAGUGGACAGUUGUUGCCUCAUUCCACAGAGUUUUGAUUUUUUUUUUUUUUUUAAUGGUCACUCCAUCAACAUCCCCCAUGGCCAGAGCCUGAGCUGGUCCCCAGAGACACAGGCAUUCAGCUGACAGCCUCGCCUUCACGCUGCUGCUGUUCUCAUGGGGGACAGGCCUCAGGUGGCAAUGCACAAAUCAUUAGUUAAGGGCAGUUGUGACAGUUACCAAGGAGUGUAGUCCCCCGCCCCCCGCCCAGUGAAAACAGCCCUAACCAGGGGUGGGGACCUUUGGGCUCUGACCCGAAGGGUAGGAGAAGCUGGAAGGACAGCAUUCCUGUCUGCGAAGGCAGGAGCAAAGCUGCCAGGCUAUGAAGGAAAUGGCUGGAGCCUGAAGUCAUGCAAGCUGGGGCUGGCAGGGACAGGGCCAACUUCCAGGCCUGGGGGCCACCAUGAGGAUUCAGGACGUGACCCCCAGGGCACAUGAAGGCCUUCCAUCUGUAUUUAAGAAAAGACUUUAUCAGACGAGUAUGGUGGCUCACGCCUGAAUCUUAGCACUUUGGGAGGCUGAGGCAGGUGGAUCACGAGGUCAGGAGUUCAAUACCAGCCUGGCCAAUAUGGUAAAACCCCAUCUCUACUAAAACUACAAAAAUUAGCCAGGCAUGGUGGCGCACGCCUGUAGUCCCAGCUACUCGGGAGGCUGAGGCAGAAGAAUCACUUGAACCCGGGAGGUGGAGGUUACAGUGAGCCAAGAUCGCGCCACUACACUCCAGCCUGGGUGACAGAGUGAGACUCCGUCUCAAAAAAACCAAAAGACUUUAUCUUAUUUCCUAUAUGUUUGUGGUUUCAGUCCUGAUGUAUAAUUUGACCCUAGUUAGAAUGGUUAUCUGAGGAAGUGGCCUGUACGAUUUCUGCUUUUUUAAAUGUGUGGCUCCCUUUCUUCAUUGAUUAACGUAUGAUUAUUUUUAUAAAUGUUCCAUGGCAGUGGGAAGGGAUUCUCUGUCACAUUCCACAUCUGGAUCAGUUCCUCCCCAUUUUGUUGGUCAAAUCCGAUCUGCCAUAUCCUGUGUAAUGACAAGUGAGUUGCAUUCUCACCGUCACUCCUGGGGUCUCUCCGCUUCCCCUGAGCUGGCUCAGCAGUCUGCUCCAUGUGUUUUGAUGCAGGGUGACCCAUUGGUAUUCCCGACACUAACGCCCCCGUCUGUGGACUGCUUGCUGCUUGGGCUUCACUGUGUCUGGUGUUGACAGUGCAGACCUAAAGGUGUGCACACAUGUGCACACACACUCCGCUGUCUUCUUGUUUGCACUGGACUUAAAUAUCUAUGAGGGUUAUUUUCAACUGCUGAAUUUGGAAUGAUUUUUAUAUCUUUUCUGCUUUCUGCCCAUGUACAUGUGUUUAUUUUACACUGUUGUGAUUGGUAGUUACUAUGUGGGGACACAAUUACUUGGGCUGAAAUAAUCCACCUGUUGUGGUUGGGGUCCUCUGGGGCAUUCCAGGGUGAGAGGUUGUCACUGCCACCUGGGCCAUGUGGGCCGGCACCAGCAUUUUGUGGUUACGAAUUCUACAGUCACAAAUAUCUUUGGGCAAAUCCCCUUCUAUACCUCAAGGCAGCUUUUGGUUUGCAACCCCACUGGCCAGAGGGAAGGGCCAGUCACUUGGCUCUCUCACUGCCCUGCGCCCCAGAUGGUUCUAGGGCUGCUGUUUUCCCUUGGCCCUGCCAACACCACUGUUUUUACUUCUGCUCAUUGGCUGAGUGCAGUGGUUCCUGGAAGCCAGUGGCACGUUUCCCCGCGUAGCUCGCUUAUCCCACAGCACACACCCAAGGGUUCUGUUGCUAACACGCUGAAUUAAUUCUUUGCUCAUCUUACAGAGUGUGUUUUGACUGCCCCCAUUUCUGAGGCCUUGUAAGGCCAGAGCUUUGUUGCUUCAUCGGCAGGUUGGGACUUAGAUGGCCGUGAAUGUUUCCUCUCUGCUGCUGCAGUAAGUAAGUGCCCGCACCAUAGUGUGUUUGGAGGCUGAAGUUGAAGCGAGGCUGUGAGGGGAGAUGGACGUGUGAGGAGGGAUGAUGGGGCUUGAGCAAAGUGGGGGAGGGGGCAAAGGCAGUUGGCCCAACACAUUCCCCACCCCUUUGAGAGGUCUGAGGCCUGCAGACCUGGCUCGGAGCCCACCUGGUAGUCCUCAGACUGUGUGUGUGUGUGUGUGUGUGUGUGUGUGUGUGUGUGUGUGUGUGUGUGUGUGUGUGUAAAAGAGAGAAGUUGUGGAGAAAUGGGGGGCUGAUUCUGCUCAGAUUCAUCAGGAUGAGUAGAAGGCACCCAGCUCUCACCCUGGCCUGACAUGUGUGUCCCUGAGCAGGUUACAGUCCUCUCUGAGCCUCUGCUUCCCAUCUGGACCCUGCUGGGCAGGGCUUCUGAGCUCCUUAGCACUAGCAGGAGGGGCUCCAGGGGCCCUCCCUCCAUGGCAGCCAGGACAGGACUCUCAAAUGAGGACAGCAGAGCUCGUGGGGGGCUCCCACGGACCCGCCGUGGGCCCAGGGGAGGCAGAGCCUGAGCCAACAGCAGUGGUGCUGUGGACCGUGGAUCCUGAGGGUGGCCUGGGGCAAGUACCGGCUGAGGGUCCAGGUGGGCUUUGUGUACCUUUGGGUCCUGGGGCCCUGGUGACUUGGACUCCAGGUUAGAGUCAAGUGACAGGAGAAAGGCUGGUGGGGCCCUGUGCUUCCGACUUCAUUUCGAGUGAUGGCAGUUCCCAGGAAGGAAUCCACAGCUGACGGUGGCUGACAGAUCAGAGAAUGGAAGGCGAGGCAGGCGGGCGUCUGCGUGACCUCAGGUGCUUGGGGCCCAGCAGACCCAGAGAACCAUUUCCACUAGGCCAGGGUGCCGGAAGUGUCCACAGGUCUUAGAUUCCCUGUUCAGAUGAAAAGAUUUGUGCCUUUAAUGAUAAAAGUGAUCUGCAUAGAGUCAAAAAUUCAAGCCAUGGGUAUAAAAUGCAAGUAAAAUCCCUGCCCUCACCUAUCCCACCCUACUACACAGAGAUGUCCUCUCGAGUUUCCUAGACUCACUCUGGAAAUUUCUGUAUACACACAGAAGCUUGUGCCUCUGCUCGUGAAGGCAGAGGGAGGGAGAGCUGAAGGGCCAGCACCUUCUCACCUGUGGGCCCCCUCAGUGCUCGGUCCCAGAGCAUGCAGGACUGUGCCUCGUGUUCAGUUUGCUGGUCUGACUUCAUGCUCCUUGGGCAGGAUAUGCAUGUGCCAUGCUAGGAGACAUGUGGAUGUGAAGCUGGGGGACAAUGUCCCCUGGCUAUGCCUUUACAAGGGAAGUAAGGAAGGUAGGAGGUGAGCCUGGGAGGGAGGGAGGGAGGCGCGGAGCCGCCGCAGGUGUUUCUUUUACUGAGUGCAGCCCAUGGCCGCACUCAGGUUUUGCUUUUCACCUUCCCAUCUGUGAAAGAGUGAGCAGGAAAAAGCAAAAGGCGCUGGUGGUGGCACGUCCAGCACGGCUGGGCCGGGGUUCGAGUCCCCGCAGUGUUGCUGCUUCCUUCCAGCUCCCUCCUCCAGGCCUCUCCUCCCACCCCACCAGGGAUAUCUUGUCUCCUAGAGGGGUAGCAUUGGGUGGGGCACCCCAGGCCUCUCCCAGAAGCCCUCCUGCCCUGCUAUCCCCUCCCUCAUCCUCUGGGGCCCUGGGAAUACAGCAGGGGACGUGGGGCCACAGGCAGCUGAUAACUUAGCCCCCUCAGCCACUCCUGUGGGAGCGGGAGGGGGACAGCUUGGCGGCUCUGCACCCAAAGCUGUGGGGCCUACCUGGAGUGUCCCCACCCCUCAGGGCAUACUCCCCACUGCCCUCUUCUUCCCAGGAUCAACUCACCGCUACCCUCCUCUCCACAUCUGAGGACCAGCGUGGCUCUUCCAGGGAGGGCUUGGGGAGAUGAGGUCCAAGGGGAGAGGCCAGAAAUCCUGAGGCCUGGGCUGGAGAUGGGUGGGCGGACAGGGCCCAACGAACCGGCCCUUGUGCAGGAAGGCCAACAGCUGGGACCACAAGGUGCCGGGUGGGACAGGGAAGUCAGCCUGUGCUCUCCAGGCACCUGGGACCCAGGAGAUCCCCCCGGCUCAGCACCAGCAGAGGCAGCUGCUGUGAUCCUGGGCAGGCAGUGUCCUCCUCCCUCAGUCUCUGCCCCCUCCCAUCCCCAAGAGGGAGGCCAGGGGCUCACAGUCCAUUUCAUGGGCCAUGAUACUGAUGCUGUCUGCAGUUGGGGCAGCUUGCCUGACCACAAGGCUCUCCAGGGAGCCCCUGCCAAUCACUAUAAUAAUCUCCUUUAACGAGUCAGGCCCCAUAAGGAACAGCCAGAAGCAGGAGAGAGGUAUGCAGAGCUGGCCUAUGGAGGCUUGCCAUCUCUUCUGACCCCACAGAGCCCACUCAGAAUACCACGCCCUAGUGGGUCUUCCCAGCCCAAACUCAAGUCACAGGAUGGCACAGGUCCUCUAGGGAGAGCUGGGCUCCCAUGGGGUGGAGGGAGCCCCAAACCUCAACAAGGCUGAGGGGAUGCAGUAUGCAGGGCCAGGGAAGGGAGCCAGGAGACAGAGGGGCCGAAAGCCAGUCAGCUUUGGUGGAGAGAACCCUUCAUGAGGAGCCCUGGCUUGGGCCUCCUGGUCAAGGAGUGUUUGCAGCAAUCUGUAGUCCCUUAGCCCCUGGCAAGUUCUGGUGCCAGAAAAUCCCCUCCGGAGCUGGUGUCUCUCUCAUUCAAGGGGUGAGAAGAGGCAGCGUGAAGCCGAGGUCUUGGCCGGCCAUGCCUGGGUGGUGAGGCCACAAGUCCACCCCUGCAACUGCAAGGGCAGCAGGGAGGAGCUGCAGGAUCUGCUGUCCUUGGAUGUGAUCAGCCUGCCACUGGGGACCAACAGGCCUAGACUCAUACAUGAGCCAAGGCACAGAGCCCAGGACUGAAGACAGAGAGGAGCCACCACACGGCAAAAGAGCAUGGACAUCUGAGUGCCACCUAGCCUGUGUGAGACUCCGUUUCUCUAUCUCUAAAAUGGAGUCCGCCAGGCGCAGUAGCUCAUGCUUGUAGUCCCAGUUACUCAGGAGGCUGAGGUGGGAGGAUCACAUAAGCCCAAGAGGUUGAGGCUGCAGUGAGCUAUGACUGCACCACUGCACUCCAGCCUGGGUGACAGAGUGAGACCGUGUCUCAAAAACAAAAACAAAUAAAUAAAAUGGAGUCACUGAUAGCUACCUCACAGGGUUGUUGAGAAAAUUCGGGAUAACAUUUACUGCUUGCCACAGGGAAGGUAUUAAAAAGUUACAGGUGGGCACGGUGGCUCAUGCCUGUAAUCCCAGCACUUUGGGAGGUCGAGGUGGGCGGAUCACUUGAGGUCAGGAGUUAGAGACCAGCCUGGCCAACAUGGUGAAACUCCGUCUCUACUAAAAAUACAAAAAUUAGCCAGGUGUGGUGGGGUGCGCCUGUAAUCCCAGCUGCUACUCGGGAGGCGGAGGCACAAGAAUCACUUGAACCCAGGAGGCGGAGGUUGAGAUCGUACCACUGCACUCCAGCCUUGGUGACAGAGCGAGACUCUGUCUCAAAAAAAAAAAAACAAUACCUGAUACUGAAAUUUAGGUCUCACAAUUCUGGAGGCUGGGAAAUCCAAAAUCAAGGUACAGGCAUCUGGGGAGGGCCUUCUUGUUGCAUCCUCACAUGGUGGAAGAGCAGAAGAUGGCAAACCCACUCCCACAAGCUCUUUUUAUUUUAUGUUUUGAGAUGGAGUCUCACUCUGUCACCAGGCUGGAAUGCAGUGGCACUAUCUCAGCUCACUGCAGCUUCCGCCUCCCAAGUUCCGCCUCCCAAAUUCUUCUGCCUCAGCCUUCCAAGUAGCCGGGACUACAGGCGUGCACCACCAUGCCCAGCUAUUUUUGUAUUUUUAGCAGAGACGGGGUUUCACCAUGUUGGCCAGGAUGGUCUCAAUCUCUUGACCUCGUGAUCUGCCCGCCUCAGCCUCCCGAAGUUCUGGGAUUACAGGCAUGAGCCACCAUGCCCAGCCACAAGCUCUUUUUAUAAGGGCCCCAGUCCAUUUGUGAAGGAGGAACCCUCAUGACCCAAUCCCCUCUCAGAGGCCCCCUUUCCAGUAUGUCAUCUUGGUGAUUAGGUUUCAAUGUGGCUUUUGGAGGGAACACCACAUGCAAACCAUAGCAGGUGGCUUGUCCCCUUCUGUCUGGGGAAGAGAAGAAAAAAGCACACCUUCCUUAGAGUUUCACCCAUUGAAAAGCAGCACCUCACUCUGGACCUGAGCUGAGGCCGGAGUAGCCGUGGAAGGAGGACAUUCUUGUCCUGGGUCCCCAAAGUGCUCUUAACUCACCCUGCAUCAGGCACCAGCCACAGGGCCCUGGGAAACCACUCCAGGGUGCUAUGUCAGGGCAGAGAAAGGGGACCUGAAGUCAAAGAGACUUGUGGGGAUCACCCCAUGACCCAUCCCCUGCCCUGAGGCAGGACCUUGCUGCCAGAGACAGAAUGGGGCCCCUCCAUUCAAGGGGGGCUGUUCUCUGGGCAUGCCAUGUGGGGCAUGGCCUCAGUCACAUCUAUAGAAGUGAGAUCACAGGGACAAGGUGGCCUAGGAGGAAGGGGUGUGAGGCCCGCUCCCUUCCAGCACCACACUCACUGCCAGAGUCUAAAUCUGCCUCCUGCUGGAGUAGGACUGAGACAGAGGGACUGGUCACCCUAUCUAGCCUGAACAGCUGAGCCCAGGGACCCCCAUGAAGCAGGAAGGAACUGGACAAAGGAGCCAGCCAAUCUCCUAAUUGACAAAGGGGCCAAUCCGUUGCCAGACUGCUCCUGGUGGGGCUCCACAGACAACAGCAGCCUUGCUGUUGACUCCGCCCCCAUCUUCCCUCCUCCUGCUGACACCUCUUCAGGUUCCCACCCCCACCCUUCUUUUAGGGCAGGCCUGGUCUCAAAGAUCUCCACCUACUAUGCUCCAGGAGCCAUGGUUUCAGCACCUCCCCCAUUCAGAGGCCCCUGGGGGCCUGUCUAUGGGAGACACUGUGAUGCAGGCUGCUUGGCCACUUCAAAAGCCCUUCUCUAGGGAUCAGGACAUAGCUACCCUCAGCCAGCGCAGUCCGCAUCACCUCAAUGAUCUGAGUGAUGGUAUCAAACCCAGUACUGCACUGAGGAAGCCCUCCAUGUUUUUCUGCAGGGCCAGAGAAAGGGGGGUCAAUAGGGCCCAGCAGGGGCCUCAUCCCUCCAGAGGACAAGAAGGGCAGCCCCUCCCGGGCCCUCACUCCCUCAGCCCAAAAGGGCAAAGACCAGAGUCUGACCCGCCCACCCACCUCCCAGAUGUCUCCCUGUCUUCUCAUCAAGGCGGGUGAUGUUAUACGCAUCUGGGAGCCCCGCAGAAAGCAGCGCAGAUUGGAUGGAGGGCUCUGCAGAAGAUAAGGAUUAUAAGCUAAUUCUCCUGAGGCCUCAACCCCGCCAGCUGAGGAGCUGACUCCUCAAAGUCUGCAGAGGGUCAGUGUACCUAGCUGGCCAAUCCACCUCAAUGCUCCCAAAGUACACAUGUCUCUUCUCAAGGUCUUUCCCCAACACCCCCCAACCACAAGCCCAGAUGUGAAGGUAGCUUUUUUUUUUUUUUGAGACGGAGUCUCGCUCUGUCACCCAGGCUGGAGUGCGGUGGCACGGUCUCAGCUCACUGCAACCUUCGCCUCCCAGGUUCACGACAUUCUCCUACCUCAGCCUCCCAAGUAGCUGGGACUACAGGCGCCCACCACCACAACCGGCUAAUUGUUUAUAUUUUUAGUAGAAAGGGGGUUUCACCAUGUUAGCCAGGAUGCUCUUGAUCUUCUGACCUUCUGAUCCGCCCGCCUCGGCCUCCCAAAGUGCUGGGAUUACAGGCGUGAGCUACCGUGCCCAGCCAGCUUUUUCUAUUUAUUUAUUUAUUUAUUGAGACAGAGUCUCACUCUGUCGCCCAGGCCGAAGUGCAAUGGUGCGAUCGCUGCUCAAGGCAACCUCCAUCUCCCAGGUUCAAGCAAUUCUCGCGCCUCAGCCU